rnacentral:rRNA from 1 species
UACAGAGGUCUCAAGCGUUGUUCGGAUUCAUUGGGCGUAAAGGGUGCGUAGGCGGCGCUCCAAGUCUGUCGUGAAAUCUCCCGGCUCAACUGGGAGGGUGCGGCGGAAACUAGAGUGCUCGAGUGUGGGAGAGGUAAGCGGAAUUCCUGGUGUAGCGGUGAAAUGCGUAGAUAUCAGGAGGAACACCUGCGGUGUAGACAGCUUACUGGACCACGACUGACGCUGAGACACGAAAGCGUGGGUAGCAAACAGG